UUUGUGGUUUCACAAAUAAAUUUGGACGUCGUCAUAUCAAGUAUGACACUACGUAAUCCUUGGGACUUGGCCAUAAUCUAUAAUAACAAUGAGUGUGAGGGCUUGUGUUUAAGUAGUAUUAAGCCUGAUGGUCUAAAAUGCAGAACAAUACUAGGAUCUAAUAUGCAUAACACAAUUAGUCAAAUGGCCUCUCUCCAAGUUACAGGGAUUUAUAAGUAGUUAGGAUGAAGUCUGAGGACUGAAUCAAACAAUAGCCAAAGGAUAAGAUUCCCCAUUGUCUGCUUGUGGCCAUUGGUAACCGCUGCUGCCGUGCAUGCGGGUCUGCAGGCAGACCGAUGGUUGCGCCGCUGCAUCUUGUGCAUCAUGGGCUGCCUCCAUCCGGGCUGAGGACUGCGCUUCCGCUCGCCGAUGCCAGAGGGAGGAGCCGCCUUGGAGGGCUUCUCCCCUUAACGCAGCGGAGGGCGUCGCCGUGCCGGGUACCGGCCGUCGGCCACUGCCGCCACUCUGCGAGGAGCCUGGCCGAGGGAUGCAGGCGUAGCCGCGCAGUGGUGAUGCAUGCGUCACUGUACUGCAAGGAUGCAGGCUGAGCGCCACGUCGGCUGUGGCCGUAGCAAACGCCGAGCGCACCGGUAGCCGAGGGCUGCGCCCGUGGGCAACACCACAGAGGCGAGGUUGCCGGAUGUUCCCGCCGCGCGUGAUGGCGUUUCCAAUCGGCGAUCGCGACGACGCGUCGCUGGAUAUGGCGACCACGCGAGAGGAUGCCCCCGCGCGAGUUGGGGACCGUGUUGUCGGCCGCUCGUCGAGUCCGCAGAGCGUUGCCGUGUGGAGCCGCGGGAUUCCAUCGUCAUGGCCGCGCUCGGCCUUCUUGCGUUCCUUGGCCGUCUAUCAAUUGCAGCGCUCUAGGCCGUGAAUUACGUUGGGGCGUGCGUCGCAUCUCGCCGUCUAGCCUUGCCGCAGCGAUUGCGUGAGCGUCGUCCUGCCAGUCGGUGUCCGAUGCCUCGGCUAUCCUUCCGAAAGCCUUCUUCUUUUUUGGGAGAGACUAAGUGCUAUAACGUGUUAGAGUAAAAACGAGAUUGAAUGAAAGUGAGUGAACGAUUAGUCCUGUUUUUAUUGAUUCUCAAGUAUAUAUACAUCUGAAAGAGGUGCGAAGAAAAGGUGUCUGUUCGGAGGCAUCCCUCCAGAACAGGUGCCGGUUGGCAAUAGAGAAAGAGAAAAGACACGACUGUUCGUGGUUGGACAUAUCCUUAAAUUAAUCUAUUAAUUAAUUUCUAACAAAAUCAACGCAGCCUAGCAUCUUCUUGCUGCUUAAUUCAUCAAUGAUG
rnacentral:lncRNA from 1 species